rnacentral:rRNA from 1 species
GACGAACCACCCAAACGUUAUUCGGAAUUACUGGGCUUAAAGGGUGCGUAGGUGGUGCGGAAAGUUGGGUGUGAAAUCCCUCGGCUUAACCGAGGAAUUGCGCUCAAAACUACCGUGCUCGAGGGAGAUAGAGGAAUGCGGAACUUACGGUGGAGCGGCGAAAUGCGUUGAUAUCGUAGGGAACACCGGUGGCGAAAGCGGCAUUCUGGAUCUCUUCUGACGCUGAUGCACGAAAGCUAGGGUAGCAAACAGG